GACAAGGUCCCAUCACCUCCUUCAUCUGACUUCUGAGCUGCAUAGCUGGUACAACAGAUGGUUGGGUCCUCAUUCCAGCUGGAGUUGAUCUUGGUGUUAAACCAGCUGGGUUUGUGUUUUUGAUGUUGCUCUGGUUCUUCAGCCAUCCUCUGCUUCUACACUACAUUUCCCAUGGAGCCGUGUGCCGACCAUGGAGCCAUCAGCCAGGUUUUUGGAGCCAGAGA